ACUAAGCGUACACGGUGGAUGCCCUGGCAGUCAGAGGCGAUGAAGGACGUGCUAAUCUGCGAAAAGCGUCGGUAAGGUGAUAUGAACCGUUAUAACCGGCGAUGUCCGAAUGGGGAAACCCAGUGUGAUUCGUCACACUAUCGUUAACUGAAUACAUAGGUUAACGAGGCGAACCGGGGGAACUGAAACAUCUAAGUACCCCGAGGAAAAGAAAUCAACCGAGAUUCCCCCAGUAGCGGCGAGCGAACGGGGAGCAGCCCAGAGUCUGAAUCAGCUUGUGUGUUAGUGGAACGGUCUGGAAAGUCCGACGGUACAGGGUGAUAGUCCCGUACACCAAAAUGCACAGGCUGUGAACUCGAAGAGUAGGGCGGGACACGUGGUAUCCUGUCUGAAUAUGGGGGGACCAUCCUCCAAGGCUAAAUACUCCUGACUGACCGAUAGUGAACCAGUACCGUGAGGGAAAGGCGAAAAGAACCCCGGCGAGGGGAGUGAAAAAGAACCUGAAACCGUGUACGUACAAGCAGUGGGAGCACCUUCGGGUGUGACUGCGUACCUUUUGUAUAAUGGGUCAGCGACUUAUAUUCUGUAGCAAGGUUAACCGUAUAGGGGAGCCGCAGGGAAACCGAGUCUUAACUGGGCGUUAAGUUGCAGGGUAUAGACCCGAAACCCGGUGAUCUAGCCAUGGGCAGGUUGAAGGUUGGGUAACACUAACUGGAGGACCGAACCGACUAAUGUUGAAAAAUUAGCGGAUGACUUGUGGCUGGGGGUGAAAGGCCAAUCAAACCGGGAGAUAGCUGGUUCUCCCCGAAAGCUAUUUAGGUAGCGCCUCGUGAACUCAUCUUCGGGGGUAGAGCACUGUUUCGGCUAGGGGGUCAUCCCGACUUACCAACCCGAUGCAAACUACGAAUACCGAAGAAUGUUAUCACGGGAGACACACGGCGGGUGCUAACGUCCGUCGUGAAGAGGGAAACAACCCAGACCGCCAGCUAAGGUCCCAAAGUCAUGGUUAAGUGGGAAACGAUGUGGGAAGGCACAGACAGCCAGGAUGUUGGCUUAGAAGCAGCCAUCAUUUAAAGAAAGCGUAAUAGCUCACUGGUCGAGUCGGCCUGCGCGGAAGAUGUAACGGGGCUAAACCAUGCACCGAAGCUGCGGCAGCGACACUAUGUGUUGUUGGGUAGGGGAGCGUUCUGUAAGCCUGCGAAGGUGACCUGUGAGGGUUGCUGGAGGUAUCAGAAGUGCGAAUGCUGACAUAAGUAACGAUAAAGCGGGUGAAAAGCCCGCUCGCCGGAAGACCAAGGGUUCCUGUCCAACGUUAAUCGGGGCAGGGUGAGUCGACCCCUAAGGCGAGGCCGAAAGGCGUAGUCGAUGGGAAACAGGUUAAUAUUCCUGUACUUGGUGUUACUGCGAAGGGGGGACGGAGAAGGCUAUGUUAGCCGGGCGACGGUUGUCCCGGUUUAAGCAUGUAGGCUGGUUAUCCAGGCAAAUCCGGAUAAUCAAGGCUGAGGUGUGAUGACGAGGCACUACGGUGCUGAAGUAACAAAUGCCCUGCUUCCAGGAAAAGCCUCUAAGCAUCAGGUAACAUCAAAUCGUACCCCAAACCGACACAGGUGGUCAGGUAGAGAAUACCAAGGCGCUUGAGAGAACUCGGGUGAAGGAACUAGGCAAAAUGGUGCCGUAACUUCGGGAGAAGGCACGCUGGUGUGUAGGUGAAGCCCCUGCGGGUGGAGCUGAGACCAGUCGAAGAUACCAGCUGGCUGCAACUGUUUAUUAAAAACACAGCACUGUGCAAACACGAAAGUGGACGUAUACGGUGUGACGCCUGCCCGGUGCCGGAAGGUUAAUUGAUGGGGUUAUCCGUAAGGAGAAGCUCUUGAUCGAAGCCCCGGUAAACGGCGGCCGUAACUAUAACGGUCCUAAGGUAGCGAAAUUCCUUGUCGGGUAAGUUCCGACCUGCACGAAUGGCGUAAUGAUGGCCAGGCUGUCUCCACCCGAGACUCAGUGAAAUUGAACUCGCUGUGAAGAUGCAGUGUACCCGCGGCAAGACGGAAAGACCCCGUGAACCUUUACUAUAGCUUGACACUGAACAUUGAGCCUUGAUGUGUAGGAUAGGUGGGAGGCUUUGAAGCGUGGACGCCAGUCUGCGUGGAGCCAACCUUGAAAUACCACCCUUUAAUGUUUGAUGUUCUAACGUUGGCCCCUGACCGGGGUUGCGGACAGUGUCUGGUGGGUAGUUUGACUGGGGCGGUCUCCUCCCAAAGCGUAACGGAGGAGCACGAAGGUUAGCUAAUCCUGGUCGGACAUCAGGAGGUUAGUGCAAUGGCAUAAGCUAGCUUGACUGCGAGCGUGACGGCGCGAGCAGGUGCGAAAGCAGGUCAUAGUGAUCCGGUGGUUCUGAAUGGAAGGGCCAUCGCUCAACGGAUAAAAGGUACUCCGGGGAUAACAGGCUGAUACCGCCCAAGAGUUCAUAUCGACGGCGGUGUUUGGCACCUCGAUGUCGGCUCAUCACAUCCUGGGGCUGAAGUAGGUCCCAAGGGUAUGGCUGUUCGCCAUUUAAAGUGGUACGCGAGCUGGGUUUAGAACGUCGUGAGACAGUUCGGUCCCUAUCUGCCGUGGGCGCUGGAGAAUUGAGGGGGGCUGCUCCUAGUACGAGAGGACCGGAGUGGACGCAUCACUGGUGUUCGGGUUGUCAUGCCAAUGGCACUGCCCGGUAGCUAAAUGCGGAAGAGAUAAGUGCUGAAAGCAUCUAAGCACGAAACUUGCCCCGAGAUGAGUUCUCCCUGAGACUUUAAGUCUCCUGAAGGAACGUUGAAGACGACGACGUUGAUAGGCCGGGUGUGUAAGCGCAGCGAUGCGUUGAGCUAACCGGUACUAAUGAACCGUGAGGCUUAACC
rnacentral:rRNA from 1 species